AUGACAUGGUGCCCACAGUCCACAGAUGGGGAUGAAAAGUUGUUCCUUUUCUGGAGCCUCUCACCAUCUGGAACUCUGAAAAAAGAAAAAAAAAAACACUUUUUUGUUGUGGUACUGUACUGCAAUGCCAUUUGGACUCCAUUGGAAAACAAACAAACAAACAAACAGUUACUGGAGGAAGAAUCCGAUUCUAGAGGAAUUAUUUUAACUCUGACUUCAGCGGACCUUGGAAAGGAUCCUGAAUUUGAAAUACAUCAUUCUGCCAUCUUAGAAACACAUUUUGGCACACCCUGUUUGAAGAUAUCAUAAACGGCAUAUAUGAUCUUUUAUUCAUAAUCUACUGUUGCAGCUGAUACUGUUGGAUUUAACUGUGGUUUUUCGUCAUAGAUAAAUGCAUUCUUUAAAGGGCUUUGAACCAUUUUUAAGUACGAAUGUACUGUACAGUGUUUUAUGACAACUGGUUGAUUAGACCUGAUUUGUUUUUCUUUUGGAAGUUUUCUUUUCAUGUGUGUAUGAAGCUGUGCAUUAUAUUUACUUUCCAGCAUCAGUGACACCAAAACCUAAAAAGCUACUCACAAAAUCAGCUACCAAAAGUUGUUGCUGGCUUUGUUUCCUUUUGCUUUGCAUCUGCUUGGCUACCAUUUCUGAUAUAUUAGAGACAUUUGUAAACAGACAUAUCAAAGAAAUUAAUCAAAACAGCCUUGUGCUAUUGUGUGUAUUUCACCCACGGUGUUUAUUUGGUCUCUGGUCUGCAUUAUGCCUGAAGCCAGAUUUUACGGAUUGGCAAAAUUGCAAUCAAAGAUUGCAAAGACACAGUGUGACACCGCUCAGUGGCUGGCAGCGGGUGGCCACAGCAGCCUGGGAUAAAUGUUGGUUGUUCCCUGAAUAUACUGGUUUUCACACUCCAGUGUUUUCUUUCCUCUUCUCAGCCCUCAUCCAUGCACUCCUGCCCUUCUGCAGGUGACCUCUGGUGCUCAGUGGGAAUCACGAUAAGGUCUGAGCUAAAUCACUGCUGACUCUAACUGCAGCCACAAUAAUGUAGAGUGACACUAAGUUAUUACGAUAACUGUUAUCCUUAAAAUCUAUGAAACUGUGUGAAAUUUAUGAAUUGUGAAAGCAGUUGCAUACAUGAAUAAGACAAUUCACUUGAGUAAUCCUAAUUUUAGUGCUAUUGAUUGUGUAUUCCUUUGGAAGAAGAAAAUCCAUAUAUCGAUAAUCGUCAUCUCCGAAACCCACCAAAUUGAAUUAGUGUUAAUUCACGUUUCAUUAUAAUAUUAUUUUUAUCAAUCAUCUAGAGCCUGUUAUGUAACAAAGCCUGCAGUGUAUAACUGAGAGAGAGUGCCAGGAAAUUAAAUCAGAAAAAUUUAUAAAAUACAUUAUCUAUAUUAAACCUAUGAUUCUGCACAGAUAUUUAAAUUCAUCAUAAAACUGAUAUACAAUAUUCUAGAAGGAAGAAGAUUGCAUUUUGGUCAUAAAAGCACACAGAUUGGUCUCUUCCGUGCUAUCAUGCCCACUCUUAUCUUUCUCUCCUUACAGAUGGGAGGCAUGAGAGAUGACUGUAGAUGUACGCUUUCUGUAUUUUCCUCAAUAUCUUUCAAAAGCAGAAGUGCGUUAACCAAAAUAAUAAGGAAUUCUGUGCAUUCUCAGUAUUUAUGUAGGGUGAAAAAUAAUUAUACGUCACCAAAUCCCAAAGAUCUUUAGGGUGGGGGCAGGUGGGGGGAGGGUUCAGAGUGUUGCCAGACAAAGUCCCAUUCAUACUGCUAUCCACUGAGCCCAGGAUUUAAUAGUUGCAGUUUCUUGCCUAUUGUGUAUAAAUCCUAGAAAAGUCAGUUAUAACUUCAAUUUAAACAAAAGUUUCUAUCUUCUUCUACGUAAAAUAAUUGCUAUAGCUCAAGGUUACCAAUUGUACCUAGCAUUAGCUCUCAAAAGUUUCUGAAAUUUUGAAAAAUAUGACGUUACCUACCUUGAUUUUCUGAGUGCAUCAGCUAUGAGUCAUUUCACUCCUGGUAAAACCGAGGCAGUUGCAAGCAGACCCCCAUUUCCUCCUGACAUCCCUGAUUCAGGAAAAAAAAAUAGCUUGAUGGGAUUUGUGAUAGAGAGAUGGGCAUUGAACUUGGGUGCUGUGCACCAGCCUGAGCUCUGCCUCGGAGAGUGAGGUCCCUCUCCCCCACAUCAUGCUUUUAUUUGGGGAGUGAGUUGUACAAAUUAAUUGUGCGGCCGUGCUCUUGACAUCUCCUUUUUAUGAUGAAGUUUUGUGUUGGGAAACGCCUUCAGUGAGAGCAAUGGUAACUGCUGGUGCCUCCAUGCGCUGUGCACCAACACCUAGGGGGGAUUUCUUGGGCUGAACCUUGAACCUUGGAGAGAUGGGCUUAUGGCAAGUCCAACUAAAGGCACAAAAGGUGUUGCAGAGAAGAAAGAUUCAAGGACAUUUACAAAGAAAUGGCCUUUUUUUUUUUUUUUUUCCUACUUACAACUAAAUUCUCGUCUUGCUAGAAUUAUCUUGAAAAUUAAUCACUUACUAUGGUUUUGUUUUGUACAAUACCAUUCUCUCCAACCUCUGCUGCACGAACACGCACAUGCACGUGUUCACAGUAACAUUUUUUGUUGAGAACCCCACCAGCUAAAAAGCAUUAGAGCCAGCACUGCUGUGCACAUAAUCCAAAAUGUCUGAGUUAUAGCAGUUAAACAGAUUAUACUUAUUAGCUGAGUGACUGGGGCUGACUUUGUACAUAGUUUUAGCUUUUUCUACAAUGACAAGCAUAACACUUUAGUUUAAACCUCUGUGGAGGUGAUUUAAGUAAGGUCUAGUGCUUUAUGAUUUCAGCUUUGAAAGUGCCUUUCUGUGGUCUGGGUCAAAUAAUUUAAUUUUAACCCAUGAUGUUUCAAACACUUUCCUCCAAAAGAAGGAAAAUGUUUGUUUGACAUGAAUGAGGGACUGUUAAAUAAUUAAAGCUUUUUGGUAAACUGUUUAUUUGAAAUGCUAUAAGGAGAUCAAUAUAGUGAAUUGCAUGAGCAGAUAUUUGAGAAUAUAAAUAAAGUGUUAAUAAUCUUUGCUAACUAAUUAAUA
rnacentral:lncRNA from 1 species